UAAGGAAUAUUGGUCAAUGGACGAAAGUCUGAACCAGCCAUGCCGCGUGGAGGAUGAAGGUCCUCUGGAUUGUAAACUUCUUUUAUCUGGGACGAAAAAAGGUCUUUCUAGAUCGUCUGACGGUACCAGAUGAAUAAGCACCGGCUAACUCCGUGCCAGCAGCCGCGGUAAUACGGAGGGUGCAAGCGUUAUCCGGAUUCACUGGGUUUAAAGGGUGCGUAGGUGGGUUGGUAAGUCAGUGGUGAAAUCUUCGAGCUUAACUCGGAAACUGCCAUUGAUACUAUCAGUCUUGAAUAUUGUGGAGGUUAGCGGAAUAUGUCAUGUAGCGGUGAAAUGCUUAGAUAUGACAUAGAACACCAAUUGCGAAGGCAGCUGGCUACACAUAUAUUGACACUGAGGCACGAAAGCGUGGGGAUCAAACAGGAUUAGAUACCCUGGUAGUCCACGCCCUAAACUAUGGAUACUCGACAUACGCGAUACACUGUGUGUGUCUGAGCGAAAAGCAUUAAGUAUCCCCAACCUGGGAAGUACGAUCGCAAGAUUGAAACUCAAAGGAA
rnacentral:rRNA from 1 species